AUGAUGAUGACGAACUUGUCAAAUUGUGGCGGGCUGAUCAUGUCAGAGUGGAAAGAAAAGGCGGACAAGGGAGACGGUGAGGCUGAGAUUGAGCUGAGCAACCAGUUUGAGGAGCUAACCACGGAUAUCAUCGCUCACACGACGUUUGGAUGUAGCUAUAAAGUGGACAAACAAGUCUGUUUGGCACAGAUGGACCUCCAGUUUCUUGCUUUCUCCGUUGUUUACAACGUUGUCCAAAUCCCGAUAUUGGGGUACCUUCCAACCAAAAAUAAUCUCAAGAUAUGGAAACUCGAUAUGGAGGAGAAGGGCAUGCUCACGACAUCAUCAAAAGCGUGCACACCACAGGACCACAGUCAUGACCCACUUCUAAGAAUGGAUGACAUCAUAGAUGAGUGCAAUACCUUCCUCUUCACAGGCAUGACACUAGCUCGGACAUGCUUACAUGGGCCAUGUUCCUGCGGAGCACACAUCCAAUGGCAGCAAAAUCUCAAGGAGGAAGUGAUGAGAGGGUGUGGCAAUGAGAUUCCCACUGCCAACAUUCUCAACAAACUAAAGUUGGUCAACAUGUUCCUACUAGAAACUCUUAGGUUAUACGCCCCCGUUUCGGUCAUUCAGAGGAAGGAGGGUUCAAAUCUCGAGAUCAGUGGCAUCAAAGUGCCUCAAGGCACGCUCAUGACGAUCCCCAUCUCAAUGAUACGUCAUGAAAAGGAGAUCUAG
rnacentral:rRNA from 1 species